GACGAACGCUGGCGGCGUGCUUAACACAUGCAAGUCGAACGUGAUUUUUGUGGAAAUUCUUUCGGGAAUGGAAAUGAAAUGAAAGUGGCGAACGGGUGAGUAACACGUGAGCAACCUACCUUACACAGGGGGAUAGCCGUUGGAGACGACGAUUAAUACCGCAUGAGACCACAGAAUCGCAUGAUAUAGGGGUCAAAGAUUUAUCGGUGUAAGAAGGGCUCGCGUCUGAUUAGCUAGUUGGAAGGGUAAAGGCCUACCAAGGCGACGAUCAGUAGCCGGUCUGAGAGGAUGAACGGCCACAUUGGAACUGAGACACGGUCCAAACUCCUACGGGAGGCAGCAGUGGGGAAUAUUGCACAAUGGGGGGAACCCUGAUGCAGCGACGCCGCGUGAGCGAAGAAGGUUUUCGAAUCGUAAAGCUCUGUCCUAUGAGAAGAUAAUGACGGUAUCAUAGGAGGAAGCCCCGGCUAAAUACGUG
rnacentral:rRNA from 1 species